CUAGCUUCUCUGACUCUUCUUAUUAUAGCUUCUUUAGUUAAUUAUAACAUUACAAUGGCCAAGAAUGUAGCUCAGUCCCCUGUUGAGAAAAAUAGCUUUGCUUCAAUGGACCAAAAGCUGGCCAUGGCAAAGCGAUGCUCUCAUGAAGGAGUAGUUGCAGGAGCUAAAGCAGCUGUUGUUGCUUCCAUUGCCACUGCCAUUCCAACUCUGGCCAGUGCAAGAAUGUUGCCUUGGGCAAGAGCCA
rnacentral:misc_RNA from 1 species